GUCAGAUGAACAUUGUAUUUAUCAUCAACUCGGCCUCAUGUAGAGCUAUAAGAAGAGAUUGGAAAGAAGAGGUACAAGAUAAAGAUGCUAAAAACAGAAGUGACAUAAUAACAAUGCUUAAUGCAAGUUUCCUGUAUGACACAGUCCAGGUGAACAGCAGCACAAACAGGGAUCACACAGGUGAACCAGCAGCUCUGGGACACAGUCUGAACACAAACUGGACUUUGGUUUGAACUUCGGUUGGGCCGUGCUGUAUGUGAGAGCAUAACUCUGUGCUGAAAGAGGCUGCUGGGCCAGAUGUAGAGCUGCAGACGAGGCCUAAUACAAAGGCCAAACCACAAGUCUUUCACCGAGAGGAGAAACGCUUUGGCACAGCACCAGCAGCAGAUUUUUCUGGAGCAGGAGACAGGCGUGAGGAGGGAGUGCUCAAUUUAAACCCCCAGAUAUCUCGAAGAAGACCGGCUGCCGAGCCUAAUCUAAAACCAGACAGGUCUCAAAUCAGCCUGAGCCAUGUCUCUGUGGUGAAUGAACAAUUCCCAUCCAGAAAGAAGUCACAGCCAUGCACCAUGUGCAAAGACCAGCACAAUAACAAAAGAUAGAGCCCAAAACUAAGAGCGCGAAGGAAAGGACGAGCUAAGAGGUGGAGAGAGCGAGGGAUGACUAGACGACGAAUCUCUUCAGUGUGUUUUAAUCAACUGAUCUGACUGGACAAGAGGCCUGGAGAGUCUCACACACACACACCAUCACUCCUCAUCAGCGGUGAGUGUGUCCACUCUCUGUCUCUUCAGUCAUCAGCCAGAGG